AUUGAACGCUGGCGGCGUGCCUAACACAUGCAAGUCGCGCGAGAAAGUCCGCUUCGGUGGAUGAGUAGAGCGGCGCACGGGUGAGUAACGCGUGGGUUAUCUGCCUAGAAGACUGGGAUAACAGUGGGAAACCGCUGCUAAUACCGGAUAAGCUUCGUGCUUUGCUGUAUGAGGGAAAGGUGGCCUCUGCUUGCAAGCUACCACUUCUAGAUGAGCCCGCGUCCCAUUAGCUUGUUGGUAGGGUAAUGGCCUACCAAGGCGACGAUGGGUAGCUGGUCUGAGAGGAUGAUCAGCCACACUGGGACUGAAACACGGCCCAGACUCCUACGGGAGGCAG
rnacentral:rRNA from 1 species